CUGAGUGUCUGAACCUAUAGUAUAAAACACGAUAGCAUAAAAGAAAAGUAUGCGCCAGGACGUGUGAAUGCACUGGUAUGCAAAGUGAGGUAAGGCAGAAUGCAAGAGUUCAUAUGCAUGACCUAAACUGACUGAAUAACAUGAACAUGACUACGUGAGAAUACAUGUAUGAAUACUUAACAGUAACUAAAAUCAUAAGGAUUCUGAAUACUGAGUUUACUGUUAACAUGGAUUACUGAUAACUGAUAACUGAGUGAUUGUGUCUGACAGUCCUAAUUCUAAUGAAACUAGAUGAGUUCUGUAUUAAGCUGAUUGACUAUAUUUGAUAGUCCUGAAAUCUGUAGAACUAUCUGAGUUCUUUACAGAAGACUGAGAUUGAGACUAUGAGAGGUAGUCAUCUAAUUGACAUACCCCUAAUAAGAUAUUAUAACUUAGUUGGGGUCCAAUCUGUAACCCCAAUUAGAAGGGUGUCAAUACCGCACCACUCUUAAGGACAAGCUAUAAGUGACCCUCAUCUGGCAGUGUCCCUAAAGGAGAAUGGUGGGAACCUCAUCUGGCAGUGUUAAUCUACCUCAUCAACCCUCAACUGUCAGUGUUGAUGUCUCAACCUAUGCUGGAUAUAUAGUUCUAGAACCCAAGGACUACUCCUAAGAAUCACACCCUCUGCUGGUAGGUGAGUUCCCAUAAUUGGGUUCACUCGGUGAUAAAUCCUGCUCCCAACUGAAUAGACACUGAACUAAGUAUACUGGACUGAACUGGACCGAGGUCACUGAAUUCUGUUGACUGGCGAAAUAUUGCUGAAUUUUGUUAACUGACUGAGUUACUAAGGAUUGAACUAAAUACUGCUGAGUUUUCCUAAGUUUUGAUACUGACUGAAUUCUACUAAUCAUGGCUUGACUGAGGUUAUCUUGAAAACUGAUAUUGGCUCUAGGCACACCGCUAAAUUGUCAGGUAUUAAAUACCCCUAGGACUCGAUAGCAUGAAAAUAAAUGAGAAAUGACACUACUUGAAUACAUGAUCAUAGUCAACAACUCAUAAUACUAUGGUUGAGGGAUUUCAUGAAGCAUUCGCAAGUCAUAAGCUUACACAUGAAUGGAUACAUAUGCUAACAUAUCAUAAUUUCACAAAUCCAUACUUAUGAGCAUUCCACCAAAUCAUUACAAGAUAUAGCUUUCAGCAUGGGAAUUAUUUAAACAUGUGGGUACAUCAUAAUUUUAUCAUACAACUCACAAAUAGGUCAUAAUGCAUAAUUCUUAAUCACUUAGGAAUUUUAACAAACACUUGGAAGGCAUAACCUUUUCUAGGGCAUGUUUCAAUAACUAAUACAUCAUGGCUAUAUCAAGUACUUCAAUUUAAGGAUUUCAAUCCACAUACUUAACAUAAAUUCAUGAUAAUUCAAUAAUGAUUCAAUCUUGGAAAUCAUACCACAACAUAACCAUGUGUACAAUCAAACCUAUAACAUGGAAUUCAAAAUUCAUAUUUUAAAGAGGUUUUCUUGAGCUCCAAGGGUGAAAGGGACCCUUGGAUGAACACUUUACAUACCUUGGUUGACAAUUUCUUGAAGAUUGAUGGAAGAAAGUUUGAGUCCUUGAAUUGAAAUUAAUCACCUAGGAUUUUUUGUUCUUGAGCCCUUGUGAAAUAAUGAAUGUAUUUAGCCAAAAAAGAGAUAAAUUUUGUGUUAUGACGGCUGAAGGUUUGGGUAAAAUGACCUAAUUACCCUUCAGAACGUGUGUUUAAAAGACAAAAAACGUGACCAACGACGCUACAGUCGACACGGUACGUCGUGGGUACCAACAUGAUAACCGACGGGACGUGCUGACAUCGCAUCGGUUCACUAGAAUUUUCCCUAAACUGAGUAACAUUUUUUCUGUCGACGUGAUUGGCGAUGCGAUGUGCCAACAUCACGUUGACUCACUAUUUUGGGAUUUCAAACAAGGUCUAACCGAGGUUCAAAAAUUCUAAAAUUUGUUCGGAAACCCCUAUAGAUAUUCCUGAUCAUGAAUUAACAAAAAUAUAGACCAUUAAAGGACAUUAAGGUCGCAAAAAGAGAAUGUCAACUUUCGAAGACUAAAAAUAAACUAAGUCUAGAAACUUAGCUAAAAUUUUCUAGGUCUCGGGCCCCUUGACAAGAUUAAAGGACUGAACUAAGCUUAGAAGUUUUGCAGGGUCUUACAAUUUUUCGAUGAAUAAAUACAAUGAACCUUGGGGAAUUCCCCGGCUAAAUGAAUACAUUUAAUGAAAUGCUAUAAAAAUGGAGAAAUCACUUAACACAAAUAUUUACACAUUUGAUGAUUAGAAUCCUACGAGUUGUCUACCCCAAAACCUAGAAUUUGCCUAUUGAUUUAACAGUCUAAUCAUACUACUAUCGUAUUAAAAAAAAUUCAUAUUUAAUUCAAACUAAACCAACAUCAAUGAAUCUAAAUCAAUCCAUGUUCACCUUUUUAUCUAUUUUUUAUUUUGUCCCUAAUUACAUUCACAAUCACAUGCAGUUACUCAAUUUUUAGACUGCAAUCCAAGAAAUGACACUCCAUAUUGUUCAAAUAUACUCAAAAUAUACCAACAAAUCACAACAUCAACCACAUUUAAAUCACGUAAUAAACAUUAAACACCAUAUUAAAAUAAAAAUAAAAGAAGAACAAAGUUGAAGAAUUGGACCUUAAUCGAUGAUUUUAUUUUGAUCAAAUCGGAUUACUUGAUUCGAGCACCCUGGACCUUAAUCCAAACCUAAACUCGACAAACUUCAAUCCCAAACUUGGUUUAACCACCAAAUCAGACCAAAAAAUGUUGAAAUAAGGAGCACCCACAAUAGAUUUCUCCUAAACGUGAUUGGAAUCAGAAUUUCGCCAGAUUAGCUUUAUUUUUGUGGAGUAGCUGUAACUGUUUCGCUGACUUUCCAAUGGAUUUGAAUUGUUUCGAUCAGUUUUGAUAAGUUUUUGAUGAGAUGUUCCAUCUCCGAAAUAGCGAUAAUUGUAGUAGACUAUUUGGUCAGGUUUGGGGACGUCACCGGUGAUAUUUGGGUGCUUUGGUCAGUGGUUUACUGGUGGAGUCAUUUUGGCCAGAAACAGUAGUGGAUUUGUCUCUAAACAGUGAUGGAGUUUUGAUUCCGAUGAGAAUUCACCAGAAACCUUUUCCUCUUAGAUUUUCUUUUCUUUUUUCAGAUCUCUAUGCUUGUAUGGAUCUCUCACUUUCAUUGUUCUCUCUUAAUCUUCUCUCUUUCUCCAUUGAAAUCGCUCAAUUUAUAGCAUUUUUUAUGUGUGUUUCGUGUUGUUGUGUCAAUGAAAAAUCAAACUAGUGAGGUGUGUCUCUAUCUAUGUGUAUCCGGUGGUGAUUAUAUGUAUAUAUCAGUGAGUGUGUUAGUGUUUUGUGAAAGAUUCCCCCAGCUUUUCUAUUCCUCUAUUUUUAUAUAUCAAGUGUGUGUGAGUAUAUCCCCCUUUCUCAAAUGUGUAGUCUGUGUUCAUAUGUUUGGUGUAUGUGUGAUGUUUCUAUGAGAGCUCUGUAUGUGUAUUGCUAUGUGUGUGUAUGUAUAUGCGAUAGUGUAUAUGAAUAUUGUGUGUAUAUAUGCUCCCAAUUCUCUUCUGUGAGAGUGUUCAGCUAUGUAUGUGAGUGUGGUCCCUAGAAUUGUGGAGUAUGUGAGUAUGUAUAUGUGUAUGUCAAUAUAAUGGUAAGUGUUUUUUUAAUGUAUGUGCGAUGUGUGUGUCUUCAUGUAAGGUAUGUGUUCUGUGUGUUUAUUAUUUCGUAAAUGAUGUGUUAAUGGUGUGAGUAUUUUUUAUGUGAGCUCUUUUUUUAUGUGUGUUGGUAGAAUUUUGUCUAUUUAUAUGUGAGAAUAUGUAUGGAGAAGUUGAAUUGUGUAAGCAGUGAGUAUGUUGCUCUCUAUGGAAAUUCUCGUAGGUCUUCCUAUUUAUGGAGUGUGUGUGAUUAGAGUUGGGGUGGGGUAUGCAUGGGUAGAAGGGGGUAGGGGGUGUGAGGUGGUGAAAUUAGUUGGGGUGGGUGGUGAAUUUGUUGAGGGUUUGUUAGGAUAAGAUGGUUAUGGAUUUAUUUAUUUGGCUUUUAGUGGGGAAAAUUAUCACAUGAUUGAGGGUGCAUGGUAAGAUAGGGUAAAUUAGUAAAAAUACACUUUCAGGAAGGACAAAAUUACGUGUCUACAUCAUGCCCCGCUUUGGAUAUAAACACAAAGUGUUUUCAGACAAAGAAGGAGAUGAGACUGAAUUUUAACUCGGCCAUAAUUCGAAGGGGAGAAAAGAAGGACAGAGUACCACCGAGUCUAGAUUUAGGAUAUACUACCUACCCAAGUUAUGAGGGAAUAAAGUCACAGGUAUAUUAAAAGGGUUGGGAGGAGAGAGAUUAUAUCGAGUUAGAGAGUUGAGUGAGGUCCUGUCGAGGUUUCGGUCCACAGCUCUGUCAUUAUAUCAAAAAUAAAAAUUAUAAGUUAAAAGAUAAUAGAAAUUACAAAAGCCCUAUCUAUGCAGAAUCUUUUGGACUCUUGACUUGGGUUUCUGAUGCUUUCAAAAUUGACAAAAGAUCUGAUCUUCUUUGGGUUGAACUUGAGAAUAGAUUCUUUCUCCAUACAAAAUUUGAUGUUGGGGAUGAACUCACAAAUUGACUAUGUUCUGUCGGUGGUGCUUCUGAACCUUGAUCCUAAAUUUGGAAAUCUUCACCCUAUUCUUCAAGCGGACUCCUGACUUAUAAUUUCUUCACCUCGUUGCUUGACUUUCAAUUUUAUUAUCCUGUUCUCCAGGCGUUUUCCUAACUUGCUAUUUUUUAAUCUUUGUAUUUUCAAUUUCAUCACCUUGUUCAUCGAACGGGCUCCCGACUUGUAAUUUUCUCACUUUAUUGACUUUCAAUUGCUUCACCUUGUUACUUGACUUUCAAUCUCUUAACCUUGCUGCUUACUUUCAAUUUUAUCACCUUGUUCUUUAGGCGGGCUCCUGACUUGCAAUUUUAUCACUCUGUUCUCCGAGUGAGCUACCGACUUACAAUUUAAUCACCCUGUUCUUCAAGCGGGCUCCUGACUUGCAAUUUCCUUACUUUGUUCUCCGAGCGAGCUUCCGACUUUCAAUUUCAUCACCCUGUUCUUCAAGUGGGCUCCUAACUUGAAAUUUCCUUACUCUGUUCUUCGGGCAAGCUCCCAACUUUUAAUUUCAUCACCCUAUUCUUUAGGCAGGCUCCUGACUUGCAAUUUCCUCACUCUGUUCUCCUGGCGAGCUCCCGACUUGUAAUUUGAUCACCCUAUUUUUUAGGCGGACUCCUGACUUGCAAUUUUCUCACUCUGUUCUCCGGGCAAGCUCCCGAUUUUCUAUUUCAUCAGCCUGUUCUUCAAACGGGCUCUUGACUUUCAAUUUCAAAACUAGAUCAAGUGUUAUCUCAAACAAAGAUUAUGAUAAAGAAAAAUUCUAUUUUUUUUUAGAAAAGUGAAGUUCCAAACAUAAGAAUUAAAAUUUUCCCCAGUUUAUAAUCAGAGGAAUUUUGUGAAAUUCACAUCAUAACUACUUGAAAAACCCUAACAAGGAAAUACAUCUUCUAUGGGUUAAUUGGAAUGACUCGACUAGAAAGUAUAUUUUCUACCCAAACAAGGAAAUACAUCUUCUAUGGGUUAAUUGGAAUGACUUAACUAGAAAGUACAUUUUCUAGGAGUCCAGGGGAAUGACUCUACUAGAAAGUACAUCUUCUAGGAAUCAAGGGGAAUGACUCGACUAGGAGGUACAUCUUCUAAUAGUCAUAGAAAUGACUCAACUAGAAAGUACAUCUUCUAGGAAUCAAGGGAAAAGACUCGACUAGGAAGUACAUCUUCUAAGAGUCAAGGGGGAUGACUCGACUAGAAAGUACAUCUUCUAGGAAUCAAGGGGACUAACUCGACUAGGAGGUACAUCUUCUAGGAGUCAAAGGGAAUGACUCAACUAGAAAUUACAUCUUCUAGGAAUCAAGGAAAAUUACUCGACUAGGAAGUACAUUUUCUAGGAGUCAAGGGGAAUGACUCGAUUAGAAAGUGCAUCCUCUAGGAAUAAAGAGAAAUGACUCGACUAGAAGGUACAUCUUCUAGGAGUCAAAGGGAAUGACUCAACUAGAAAGUAUGUCUUCUAGGAAUCAAAGGAAUGACUUUACUAGAAGGUACAUUUUCUAGGAGUUAAGGGGAAUGACUCGACUAGAAAGUAAAUAUUCUAGAAAUCAAGGGGAAUACCUCGACUAGGAAAUACAUCUUCUAAGAGUCAAGGAGAAUGACUCGACUAGAAGGUACGUCUUCUAGGAGAUGAGGGGAAUUUAAGAAGUGCAUCACCUAGCAAUUGAAAACUAAAAUACCUGGAAAAGGAAGUGUGUCUCCGAGGGAUAUAUGACGAUGAAUUUUUACCAUGAUUUGAUUAUCAAACCUGUGCAGCAAAAUUGCUUUCUGCAUUUGUAGAAGUGAGGCAUUGCGGCCCUUGAUAUUUAUGCACUGAAGUCCUAGAUUUUAAGGUAACAGGUUACCUAUUUUAUUAAAGAAAACCUGUGAGUUUAAAACAUGGUGGCUAAUUUGUGGAUUUGGCUUUCGAGGUUAUUGCUCUUGUGCUGGUCACAUUUAACCUUGCUUCCAAUCAUUAGCAUAUGUCAUUGACUUGCUGCAUCAUUAAUCCAAACUUAGAUUAUUAAGAGUGACUCUGAAACAAACAUAGUAUCUCUGCUUUGUUAUGCUUCUCAGAUAAACUCUUUGAACCUUAGUAUUCCAUUGAGUUCCCAGACUUGUCUGUAGACAAAACUUUCUGCAUGCCUUAUUUUGUCUCACAAUCAUGUCUCUUUCAUGUGCUAGCUUUUUGUCUUGCUUUGUGCAAUUGAAAAAGCUGGUAGCCAAUUUUGAAAUCUUUUCUUACUUAUUUUGACAUGAACUUUGAUGAUAGGCGAAAUUACGCGCCUAUAUCAAUAUAUUUUGCCCAUAUUUUAGCCUAGUUUCGAGAACUAAUUAUCUAUUUCGUACACUUUUAGUCCUUUUUCCUGUAAAUGAGCUAACAAAUGUGAUUAGGAAAGUUUCAGGUAUAAAUGAUGCAAAAUACAGCAAUUUAUGGCUUACUUGACGCAAAAGAAAGCUCACAAACGAGAUGGAAAGGAGCUGGACGCAUAAAGGACUAAAUCUGCUGCAUGGAAAAUCUGUCCCGGGCUAAAACAGCAUUUCUGAAGACUUUGGGACUUACAGACACAAAGCUGGAUUUUUGCCAUAAUACAUUAACCUAGUGCAAUUAGGUUAUGUGUUUCAUCAUUCUAUUUGGAUUAUAAUUUUGUAACCUUACCCUAGUACAAUUGGGUCAAGGAUUUCAUUAGUAUAUUAGGAUUUGGUUAUUUAUUUUAUUAGUUUAGUAGGAGUAGGAUAGGAGUAUUAUAAAUACCCUAUCAUGUUAGAGAUUUUAAAAAGAGGGGGGGGUAUGUAUGCAAAGCGAAAAUAAGGAGUGUAAGUUUAGGAUAUGAUUUAGGCAUUUCUUUGGCAACCUAUAUUUGUUUACCUUCAGUUUUACCUACCCAUGGACAUCAUCCUAGUUAAACCCUUUUGAGCCUUUAGCCUAUUUCUUUGACAACCUUGUAUGUAAGCCUAAUUCAUUUUUUUUUCAAGACCGUAAUUUGAUCCAAAUUCCUAAGUGCUUUAAAGUGAAAAAGUCAUGUGACAACAUAAGAGGAAAUUGGUUGAGUAUGAUGCUUUAAAUUGUAAUGGUGCUUGAAUAUGUUAUGAAAAAGAAAGUGCUAUCAUAAGAGGUAUGUUGUGAGAAGAAAAAGGAAAAGAAAGCUGAAAAGUGAGUUGUGCUUUAAAAUUGAAAAACAAAAGAGGAGAACAAGGGUGCUACAAAAAAGUGUCAAUAAUACAAUGUGAUGUAUUAAAGUGCUUAGGAACUUAGUCACUAUUUCUGGCCAAAAUAGUUGAUCCUACCCGUCCCUUAGCCUACAUUACAACCAUCAAAAGACCUACUUGAUCCUAACCUUAACAUUCCGACAUUUAGUGGAGUACUACAUUAAGGGCAAGCCUAUGGUCAUUAGCUGCUACAUAUGAAUUCUUUGUGAGAGUGAGCGCAAGGAUACUUUGCUGCCCAUGUUUGAAAAAUAUGCUAUACUUGUGAGUGAUUAUGGGUACUAUAUUGUGAGACACACAUGGUUGAUGAGUUUUGGAUAGUUGUAUAUGAUUCUAUGUACCUUAAACGUUUGCAUGCGAGUUGAUCACCAUCACGAGUCUAUGCUUGAGGUUAAAUUGUUUCUACUUAUAAUCGGAAAGCUACUCUUCGUUGAUAAUUGUUGUGCUUGUCUUGAAGAAUGUUUUGUGUUGUUUCUGUAAAAACCUUAAGUCAAUGCUUAGAAGGACAUGAUAUGUUGUUCGAGGACGAACAAAGCUCUAAGUGUGGGGUGUUGAUGAUAGGCGAAAUUACGCGCCUAUAUCAAUAUAUUUUGCCCAUAUUUUAGCCUAGUUUCGAGAACUAAUUAUCUAUUUCGUACACUUUUAGUCCUUUUUCCUGUAAAUGAGCUAACAAAUGUGAUUAGGAAAGUUUCAGGUAUAAAUGAUGCAAAAUACAGCAAUUUAUGGCUUACUUGACGCAAAAGAAAGCUCACAAACGAGAUGGAAAGGAGCUGGACGCAUAAAGGACUAAAUCUGCUGCAUGGAAAAUCUGUCCCGGGCUAAAACAGCAUUUCUGAAGACUUUGGGACUUACAGACACAAAGCUGGAUUUUUGCCAUAAUACAUUAACCUAGUGCAAUUAGGUUAUGUGUUUCAUCAUUCUAUUUGGAUUAUAAUUUUGUAACCUUACCCUAGUACAAUUGGGUCAAGGAUUUCAUUAGUAUAUUAGGAUUUGGUUAUUUAUUUUAUUAGUUUAGUAGGAGUAGGAUAGGAGUAUUAUAAAUACCCUAUCAUGUUAGAGAUUUUCAAGAAGGGAGACAUUCUGACAAUUCAUUCAUCUCCUUACAAUUAAGACAUCUUCCUACAACCCAUUCUCAAUUCUUCAUUCUUCUACUCUUAAAUUCCACAACAAGAGAAUUGUUACUUGCUACGGAAUCACUAAAACCACACGCCAAACACCUACUAUUCACGCCAUCCACCAUGCAAAACGUGAUAUCCUUCGCAUUCAUGGGUAACUAAAUCUCUUAGUUGGGGUUAUGGAAGCCGAAUGAGUUACUAUCUAUAGCUAUGAGUUUGUGAGUUCAAGACAAGUAUAUUGCUUAUAUCAUUAUUCUCUUCAUCUUAAAUCUACAUUCUUUGCGGUUCAAACACAAGAACACGCCAUUCUAACAUCUAACCUGUUCGAGAGAAAGGUUAUUUGUCUAGAAAAGAAGACGCAUAGACCAACGCCAGUCUAACAUCUGACUUGUUCGAGAGAAAAGUUAUUUGUCUGGAAAAGAGAUAAUGUCAAGGUAGUAGGACACCCUUUCCUAUUAAAAAGCUAGUGCCGUACCUGGACUAACUUCUUGGAGAAUUCGUACCGUUAGUCACGCUUUAAGCUCGAGAGAGUUAAAGUGAAAUAGUCCUUGUUUAGGUCGAGAGACGCUUGGAUUUACCAUCGACUACAAUUCUCUAUAAGCAAUUACAUGUCAAGACUCUACACACUCAUAGCCAAUAGAGACGUAUACCUCAGAAGGUGGACAUAACCCCAACGCCUCAAUUCUCAUUGUUUACAACACACGUGACAAUCUCUCUUUAUUUUGCUAUUUUCAGUUCUUACAUUCUUGUUUUGGUUACAUACUACAAUCCCCCCUUUCCUACGAGACUUGCACUAAAAGUCUAGUAAUUUUUCUUGCUUGUUGGCCAAGCUAUUCUCUGUGGGAUCGAUACCCAACCCAGGUUGGGUUCUAUAUUUGCUAACGACCGCUUUACACUCCCACGAGAGCUGUAGAUUGAGCGUUAUCAAAAAUUGGCGCCGUUGCCGGGGAAUACGAGUGUCAAUCAAGUUCGUGAAAAUUACUAGACCCUUUGGUCAAAGAUUCUCGUACUUUUACGUUUAGUUUUUGUUUUUGUUUAUUGCAGGUUUUUCUUUUAGUGCAUGCCCCAUACUAGAAGUUCUGGUCAACCGUUAUUACCAAUCAAUCCGGAACCACAACGAAUCAGAAGAAUGGAAGCACAAGCGGAAAUCGACAGGAUGGCUGCUCAACAUGAGCAAGCAAGAUUAGCUGCUCUUGCCGCUGCUCAAGUCCAACAACAAAACAUUGAUAAUCCUGGACGAGCAACAAAUCCUGACGAUGAAGAUUUAGGAGAUGACGAGUUGAUCAACCCAAGGCAUGGCGCUGAAAUGGCAACACCUACCAACAGACGAGGUCGACAAGCUCGGUACAGAUAUGAUCGCCAACCUUUGCAACCAGCUUUCGACGAUGAUGAUGAUGAUCUUGAUGGUGCCGGAGCCACUGGAGCUAUAAUUCCACCACCAUUAGCGCCCGGAGCCAAGUUCAACAUCACUAGCACCAUGAUUCAGUUAUUGCAACUCAAGGGAUUAUUUGGUGGACUAGCAGGCGAUGAUCCGAAUAUGCAUCUCAUCAACUUUAUUUCUACAUGCAAGUCUUUUGACAAUCCUGGAGUUGGUCAGAAUGCUAUUCGAUUACGUCUAUUUCCAUUGUCUCUGUCUGGGGAGGCAACAUUAUGGUUGAAUGGGCUGACUCCUGAUUCUAUUACAAAUUGGAGGCAAUUGAGAGACGCUUUCCUAGAAAGAUUCUUUCCGCCAUCCAAGAGGGCUCAAUUGAGAGAUGAAAUCAGCAACUUUCGUCAGCUUCCCUCUGAAGCUCUUCACGAAACAUGGGAGAGGUUCAAGACAAAGCUAGCGAGAUGCCCAAACCAUCACAUGACUAAUGUUCACCUCAUGGAGAUCUUAUAUAGAGCCUUGAAUUCAGUAACUAAACCAGUGGUGGACAACGCAGCUGGAGGUUCUUUUAUGGACCUCACCUUUGGUCAAGCAAGCAACAUGCUAGAUCGUAUGACGAAACAAAGUAGAGCUUGGCAUACCAGGGAUUCUGAGGUAGCAAGCCCCACUUUAUCUAUUGGCAUGUCUGCAGAUCAAAGAAGGAGAGAAGAAGAACGUGAUCAAGAUAUGGCGCACAUGAAAACCCAAAUGGAUCUUCUUACAAAGCAUCUAUUAGGGAAGACUGAAAAAGUGAAAUCUAUUGCGUCAAAAGGAAGAGACGAAUCUGAUUCAGAAGAGGAGGCCAACUACUUGAACAAUCAGGGGGGUUUCCGUGGGAAUGCCCAAGGAAACCAAGGUCGGAACUAUUAUGACAAAUCUGGAGGUAAAGACCAAGGUAGUUGGAAGAAAAAUAAUGAAAACAGUGGUUUGUACGUUCCCCCUGGUAGACGUGAUACCACCACAUCUAAUUCUAUGGAAGACAUGAUGGCUAAGUUAUUGAAAGGAGUGGAAGCGACGAAUGCGGGAGUUAAGGAGGUGAUUGACGAUUUGGCCUCCAUGAAGCAAUUAGUUGAUUCUCAUUCCACUUCUAUCAAGCAACUAGAGCAGCAAUUCAGUCAACUUUCAGCAACACUCAACCAAAGAAAAGCCGGCACCUUGCCUAGCGAUACGGUGCAAAAUCCAAGGACUGAUGGGUCAUGCAUGGCCAUCACUACGAGGAGUGGUAAGGUGCUGGAAACUUCAGCAGAAGGCAAGCAAAUAGUUGACAGAACAGCAGACACAACCGCCACACCUAGUGACGCCACUAGGGAAGACGCCGCAAUAUCCACUUCCAACGUCAAGGACGUGUUGCCUAGUGACGUGCAGCCUGAAAAAAGUAAUAAACGGAAGCAAGAGGAGAAGAAAGCCAUGGAAAGAACACUUCCAUACCCACCACCACCUUUUCCACAAAGACUGAAGAAGGCGGCCGAUGACACUAAGUUCAGCAAGUUCAUGACCAUCUUGAAGCAGCUGACUAUUAAUGUCCCAUUGGUAGAGGCACUUGAACAAAUGCCUGGGUAUGCGAAGUUUAUGAAAGAUCUUUUGACUAAGAAGAGGGCAGCAAGCUAUGAGCUGAAAGAAGAUGUGCAUCAUUGUAGUGCAAUAGCUACCCGAUCCAUAGUUCAGAAGAAGGCCGACCCCGGAGCUUUCACUAUUCCUUGCACCGUCGGAUCUUUGGACUUUGCUAAAGCAUUAUGUGACUUAGGAGCCAGCAUCAACUUGAUGCCAUUAUCAAUCUACAAGAAGUUGGGGUUGGGAGAUCCUACACCAACUAAUAUGAAGCUUGUUAUGGCGGAUAGGUCGGUAAAACGACCGGUUGGUAUUCUAUGCGAUGUCUUGGUGAAGGUAUCUUCAUUCAUAUUUCCAGCAGACUUUGUCAUCUUGGAUUGCGAAGCAGAUUCAGAGGUUCCCAUAAUCUUGGGACGCCCUUUCCUUGCUACGGGAAGUGUGCUCAUAGAUUUGAGAGCUAAUGAACUUUCAUUCCGAAUAAAUGAUGAAGUGGUGCGCUUUGAUGUUUGCAAAUCAAUGAAGCAACCCAAAGAUCUAAGUGUAUUUUCUGUGACUGAUGUUGUCGUUGAUGACGAGGAUGAGUUACUUGCUGAAGAACAAAUUCUUGAUGAUCCUUUGGAGGUUUUGCUCAUGGAAGAAGAUGAUGAUGAUGCUGAAAUUUCUGAAGAUGAUAUUUGUGCUCUAUCGGGAUUAGGAGCAUAUCGCUAUCCUCCUAAGAAGCUGGAUCUUGAUCUCAAGAAUCGACCCACACCACCAGCUAAGCCAUCUAUUGAAGAACCACCCACAUUAGAAUUAAAGGAGCUGCCAAGCCAUUUGAAGUAUGCAUUCUUAGGAAGCGGAAACACUCUUCCAGUCAUAGUGGCAGCCGAUUUAGGUGAGCAACAAGUUGCAGCUCUUAUUGCAAUUUUACGCAAGUAUAUUAGAGCUAUUGGAUGGACCAUUGCGGAUAUCCUUGGUAUUCCACCUGGAAUUUGCACUCAUAAAAUUCAGCUCCAAGAAAAGUGCACACCCACCAUCGAACACCAAAGACGUCUAAACCCACCAAUGCAAGAGGUGGUGAAGAAGGAGAUUAUCAAGUGGUUAGACGCAGGAGUUGUGUAUCCUAUUUCUGAUAGUACAUGGGUAAGCCCAGUACAAUGUGUUCCCAAGAAAGGAGGUAUGACGGUGGUUGCGAAUGCAAAGAAUGAGCUUAUUCCACUCAGGCCCGUCACUGGAUGGAGAGUAUGCAUGGACUACCGCAAGCUGAAUUCUUGGACUCUCAAGGAUCACUUCCCCAUGCCAUUUAUGGACCAAAUGCUAGAUCGAUUAGCGGGAAAAGGAUGGUUUUGCUUUCUUGAUGGUUAUUCAGGUUAUAAUCAGAUUUUUAUUGCACCAGAAGACCAAGAGAAGACAACGUUUACAUGCCCAUAUGGUACGUUUGCCUUCAAACGUAUGCCAUUCGGGUUAUGUAAUGCACCAGCCACCUUUCAGCGAUGUAUGAUGUCUAUUUUCUCUGAUAUGGUAGAAGACACUUUGGAGGUAUUUAUGGACGACUUUUCAGUUGUUGGGGAGUCUUUCGAAGCAUGUUUGGUGAAUUUAAGCAUGGCAUUACAAAGAUGUGUAGAGUUCAACCUUGUGCUGAAUUGGGAGAAGUGCCACUUCAUGGUAAAAGAAGGAAUUGUUCUUGGGCACAAGAUCUCCGAAAAAGGAAUAGAGGUUGAUCGCGCCAAAAUAGAGGUAAUUGAGAAGCUACCACCUCCAAUUUCGGUGAAGGGAGUUCGUAGUUUUCUUGGCCAUGCUGGGUUUUAUCGUAGAUUCAUCAAAGACUUCUCCAAAAUUUCUAGUCCAUUAUGCAAGCUAUUGGAGAAAGAUGCGAAGUUUGACUUUAAUGAUGAUUGCUUAAAGGCAUUUGAAUGCCUUAAAGAAAAACUCGUUGAAGCCCCUAUCAUGGUAACACCAGAUUGGACGCUCCCGUUCGAAGUCAUGUGUGAUGCUAGUGGUGUAGCCGUUGGUGCUGUUCUUGGACAGAGAAAGGAGAAAUUAUUUCAUCCUAUCUACUAUGCGAGUAAGGUCCUCAAUGAAGCCCAAAGGAACUACACCGUCACUGAACAAGAGCUAUUAGCGGUUGUGUAUGCGUUUGAGAAGUUCCGCGCCUACCUAUUAGGUACUAAAGUGAUCGUUCAUACAGACCAUGCAGCUCUUAGGUAUCUAAUGACAAAGAAGGAUGCAAAACCAAGGCUGAUUCGAUGGGUGUUGCUGCUGCAAGAGUUUGAUUUCGAAGUCAAAGAUAGAAGAGGUUGCGAGAACCAAGUGGCUGAUCACCUAUCUAGACUUGAGAAUGAGUAUGUGGCGCAAUCAGAAAAUCAGAUUGGCGAUGCAUUCCCUGACGAGGAGAUAUUAGCGACAACAAUAGAAGACUUACCAUGGUAUGCCGACUUUGCGAAUUUCGUGGUGAGUAAUGUGUUACCUACAAAUUUAUCUUACCACCAGAGGAGGAAGUUUAUGCAUGACGUUCAGCACUAUUAUUGGGAUGAGCCUUAUUUGUUUCGAAGAUGUGCGGAUGGUAUCAUUCGACGAUGUAUAUCCCAUGACGAAGUGCCCACUAUAUUAGAAGCAUGCCACACUUCGCAAGUUGGAGGACAUCAUGCGGGUAAUCGAACAGCAAGAAAAGUCUUGCAAAGUGGUUAUUAUUGGCCUACAAUAUUCAGAGAUGCACACGACUAUGUGAGAAGGUGUGACCAAUGCCAACGUCAAGGUGUUAUUUCAAAACACCAUGAAAUGCCCAUGUCCACAAUCCUGGAGGUAGAACUCUUUGAUGUAUGGGGUAUUGAUUUCAUGGGACCAUUCGUAAAUUCGUUUGGAAUGAAGUACAUCUUGGUUGCUGUGGAUUAUGUGUCGAAAUGGGUUGAAGCUGUAGCAUUGGCCGAUAAUGAAGGAAAGCGUGUUGUAGCGUUUUUAAAGAAGAAUAUCUUCUCUCGCUUUGGGGUACCUCGUACUAUCAUAAGUGAUGGAGGAUCUCACUUCUGCAACAAGCUAUUCAAAUCUGUAUUGGCCAAGUAUGGAGUCAAGCAACACAAGGUAGCUACGCCUUAUCAUCCCCAAACUAGUGGACAAGUAGAGGUUUCCAAUCGGGAGAUCAAGCAAAUCCUUGCCAAGACGGUCAAUGCGAAUCGGAAGGAUUGGUCUCGGAAGCUAGAUGAUGCACUAUGGGCGUAUAGGACUGCAUUCAAGACACCCAUUGGCAUGUCACCUUAUCAGCUAGUUUAUGGGAAGGCUUGUCAUCUACCCAUCGAGCUUGAAUACAAGGCAUUAUGGGCAUUGAAGCACUUGAAUCUGAAUUGGGAUGAUGUGAAGAACCUGAGGUUGGAGCAGCUGAACGAGCUAGAUGAAUUCCGUCUCCAUGCUUAUGAAAGAUCAGAUUUAUACAAGGAGCGGAUGAAGAAGUAUCACGAUCAGCGGAUUGUUCGACGACACUUCCAAAAAGGUGACAUGGUGCUACUCUUUAACUCCAGAUUCAAGCUCUUCCCAGGUAAGUUAAAAUCAAAGUGGUCUGGUCCAUUUAAAGUCACCCACGUCUACUCGUUUGGAGUAGUCGAAUUGGAAAAUAAUGAGGGUGUUAUCUUCAAGGUGAAUGGCCAACGUGUUAAGCCAUAUAUCGGUCCUCUUGACUCGAUAAAUGACAUGGCCAUCACUUAUCUCGACGAAGUCUAAGUACUCGAGAUUACUACGUCGAGCCACGACAAUAAAUAAGGCGCUAGAUGGGAGGCAACCCUUCGUUUUAUUGUUUUAUCGUUUUGUCGUUUUAGUAUUUUUUCUUUUUGAUAAAUGAAAAUCCAAAAAUAAGAGUCGUGCCACGACCAAAACUAAGGCGCUUGGUGGGAGGCAACCCAUCGUACUAAUCGUUUUCAUUUGUUUGAGCAAAUAUAGGUGUAAGAAGUAUGCAACGAGGAGAUUGAUUUCAAUUGACGAUUUGGUCGCGUUGUAUGGUAAAGGCGGUACAAUGGCACCGAAAGCAAGGCAAGGCAAGGAGAAGGCUACCACAACCCGCAAGGACAAAAAGAGAAGCCGAAAAGACCAAGGCGAAUCAUCUUCCGCACACCUACCACGCAGAAUGUUCGGAAUCAAAUGGGUUCUUGAGGAAGAAGCCAAGGCAUGGUACAGCAGCAACAAAGAAAAGAAAUAUGUGCACGUCGACUUAAUCAAUAAGGAGACCUUAGCAAAGAAGGAGCCGCAAAUGUUGGCUAAGAUUAUGGCUUUGAAGCUGGAUUUCAUCUUCCGUGACAUGGGAGAGUGCAAUCUUGACUUGACAAGAGAGUUUUAUGCCAACUGGUCGCCAAACACAACAGGCAACGAAGUCAAAAUUCGGGGCCAAGUGUUACAGCUUACAGCGGAUUGGAUCAACUCGUUUCUAGGCCUACCUUCGGUCGACACUGCACCAUACAAAGAGCUGUACAGCAGACCUCCUUACAGAGCUAUAAGACACACGCUUUGUGGAAGCAGAUCGAUGGCGAGAUGGGGCAGACAUAAGGAAACAGGCCGUCACAACACAUUCCCCUAUGCUCCACUAAAUAGGGAAGCAAGAAUCUGGAUGCGCAUUGUCAACUCAUGCCUCAUUCCUGGGACGCAAUACACAAAGAUAUCGAGAGAUAGAGUGUGCCUGGUUUAUUCAUUAAUGACGAAUGUCCCUAUCAACUUUGGGGCAAUCAUUCGAUCCACCAUGAGGAAAGCCAGACUGAUGUGAAUGUGAAUGGUCCUAUUUCACAUUCGGCAAUUUGUUGACAGCAAUGUUGCGGAAGGAGGAUAUAGAGGAGGAACCAGCUGACCACAAACUCCCACAUACCCCAAAGAAGGUUGACCUCACCAAGGUCAAAGAUGCUGAAACAACGCAUGGAGUCAACCUUACCACUGCGGAGAGACAUGCUCGUGACGAGAGUUUCUUCCGUCAUCUCUAUGGCAUGACGAGAUUCACUAUGAUGAGUGGUGGACGUAUUCCAACUGCUGAAGAGCUCCAACAGCUGGACCACGACUACCCAAUGAACAGACAUGCCCGGGAGAUGUGUGGAGUGGGAGUAUAUUUCGAGGAACCUCUUGAUGAUGACGUGCCAACUGAUGAUGAUAGACGCUUGCCUGAUUCUGAUGCUGAGGAGAACUCUGACGAUGACUCUUACGAUGACUCGAACGAAGGGGGUAUGACAUUGAGGAAGAGUCCGACUAAUCAGGUUCUUCGACUUUAUUUUCCACUGAGGGCAGUGUCUAGUCUAAGUGUGGGGUGUCGGCAGAAUCUGCAUGCUAUAUUUGUAUGUUUGCUUGUUUAUUUUGUUUUAUUUAUUUUGUUUUGAGUCCGAUUUUUUUUUGUGAUUUUUUUCGUGUGACGUUUUUUUUUUAGUUUUUAGUAGUUAAAAUUUUUCUAGCCUCGCAUGAAAUUAUUUUAAUAGGCAGCAUGAGAUUAUAACAAUAGUAUGUAUUACAAUUGUGACUAUUGAGACAUUUAGGCUCUAGUUGUGACUCAUUAUGUGAUAGUGUGUGAUUCAAUUCCUUCACUUGUUGGGUUGAGAGUCUAUAUUGCUACCAAUCAAGUCGACCAUGUGCCUUGUGUGUGUGAGAUAAUAGUAUAUUCUAUGUAUGUGGCUGAUGCUAGAACUUGCCUGGUAUGUAUGCAAAGCGAAAAUAAGGAGUGUAAGUUUAGGAUAUGAUUUAGGCAUUUCUUUGGCAACCUAUAUUUGUUUACCUUCAGUUUUACCUACCCAUGGACAUCAUCCUAGUUAAACCCUUUUGAGCCUUUAGCCUAUUUCUUUGACAACCUUGUAUGUAAGCCUAAUUCAUUUUUUUUUCAAGACCGUAAUUUGAUCCAAAUUCCUAAGUGCUUUAAAGUGAAAAAGUCAUGUGACAACAUAAGAGGAAAUUGGUUGAGUAUGAUGCUUUAAAUUGUAAUGGUGCUUGAAUAUGUUAUGAAAAAGAAAGUGCUAUCAUAAGAGGUAUGUUGUGAGAAGAAAAAGGAAAAGAAAGCUGAAAAGUGAGUUGUGCUUUAAAAUUGAAAAACAAAAGAGGAGAACAAGGGUGCUACAAAAAAGUGUCAAUAAUACAAUGUGAUGUAUUAAAGUGCUUAGGAACUUAGUCACUAUUUCUGGCCAAAAUAGUUGAUCCUACCCGUCCCUUAGCCUACAUUACAACCAUCAAAAGACCUACUUGAUCCUAACCUUAACAUUCCGACAUUUAGUGGAGUACUACAUUAAGGGCAAGCCUAUGGUCAUUAGCUGCUACAUAUGAAUUCUUUGUGAGAGUGAGCGCAAGGAUACUUUGCUGCCCAUGUUUGAAAAAUAUGCUAUACUUGUGAGUGAUUAUGGGUACUAUAUUGUGAGACACACAUGGUUGAUGAGUUUUGGAUAGUUGUAUAUGAUUCUAUGUACCUUAAACGUUUGCAUGCGAGUUGAUCACCAUCACGAGUCUAUGCUUGAGGUUAAAUUGUUUCUACUUAUAAUCGGAAAGCUACUCUUCGUUGAUAAUUGUUGUGCUUGUCUUGAAGAAUGUUUUGUGUUGUUUCUGUAAAAACCUUAAGUCAAUGCUUAGAAGGACAUGAUAUGUUGUUCGAGGACGAACAAAGCUCUAAGUGUGGGGUGUUGAUGAUAGGCGAAAUUACGCGCCUAUAUCAAUAUAUUUUGCCCAUAUUUUAGCCUAGUUUCGAGAACUAAUUAUCUAUUUCGUACACUUUUAGUCCUUUUUCCUGUAAAUGAGCUAACAAAUGUGAUUAGGAAAGUUUCAGGUAUAAAUGAUGCAAAAUACAGCAAUUUAUGGCUUACUUGACGCAAAAGAAAGCUCACAAACGAGAUGGAAAGGAGCUGGACGCAUAAAGGACUAAAUCUGCUGCAUGGAAAAUCUGUCCCGGGCUAAAACAGCAUUUCUGAAGACUUUGGGACUUACAGACACAAAGCUGGAUUUUUGCCAUAAUACAUUAACCUAGUGCAAUUAGGUUAUGUGUUUCAUCAUUCUAUUUGGAUUAUAAUUUUGUAACCUUACCCUAGUACAAUUGGGUCAAGGAUUUCAUUAGUAUAUUAGGAUUUGGUUAUUUAUUUUAUUAGUUUAGUAGGAGUAGGAUAGGAGUAUUAUAAAUACCCUAUCAUGUUAGAGAUUUUCAAGAAGGGAGACAUUCUGACAAUUCAUUCAUCUCCUUACAAUUAAGACAUCUUCCUACAACCCAUUCUCAAUUCUUCAUUCUUCUACUCUUAAAUUCCACAACAAGAGAAUUGUUACUUGCUACGGAAUCACUAAAACCACACGCCAAACACCUACUAUUCACGCCAUCCACCAUGCAAAACGUGAUAUCCUUCGCAUUCAUGGGUAACUAAAUCUCUUAGUUGGGGUUAUGGAAGCCGAAUGAGUUACUAUCUAUAGCUAUGAGUUUGUGAGUUCAAGACAAGUAUAUUGCUUAUAUCAUUAUUCUCUUCAUCUUAAAUCUACAUUCUUUGCGGUUCAAACACAAGAACACGCCAUUCUAACAUCUAACCUGUUCGAGAGAAAGGUUAUUUGUCUAGAAAAGAAGACGCAUAGACCAACGCCAGUCUAACAUCUGACUUGUUCGAGAGAAAAGUUAUUUGUCUGGAAAAGAGAUAAUGUCAAGGUAGUAGGACACCCUUUCCUAUUAAAAAGCUAGUGCCGUACCUGGACUAACUUCUUGGAGAAUUCGUACCGUUAGUCACGCUUUAAGCUCGAGAGAGUUAAAGUGAAAUAGUCCUUGUUUAGGUCGAGAGACGCUUGGAUUUACCAUCGACUACAAUUCUCUAUAAGCAAUUACAUGUCAAGACUCUACACACUCAUAGCCAAUAGAGACGUAUACCUCAGAAGGUGGACAUAACCCCAACGCCUCAAUUCUCAUUGUUUACAACACACGUGACAAUCUCUCUUUAUUUUGCUAUUUUCAGUUCUUACAUUCUUGUUUUGGUUACAUACUACAAUCCCCCCUCUCCUACGAGACUUGCACUAAAAGUCUAGUAAUUUUUCUUGCUUGUUGGCCAAGCUAUUCUCUGUGGGAUCGAUACCCAACCCAGGUUGGGUUCUAUAUUUGCUAACGACCGCUUUACACUCCCACGAGAGCUGUAGAUUGAGCGUUAUCAAACUUGACUCAAAUACAAGAGAAAAAUGACAAUGAUUUUUUUAUUUGGAUAACUAACUCAAGAAAUAAAAUAAAAAUGAAGAGAAGAAAAUGAAUGUCCCCAUUUGAAAAAAAGAAAAGAAAAAUUAUCUGAAAAUGACAGUCAACUCUAGUGAUUAUGACAUGUAUUUUGGAUUAAGCUGUCUGAUCUUUUCAUCCAAACUUUCCACCAAUUGUUGUUAAGUUAAUGGCCCUGAAACUGAGUUGCUUCCUUGGGUCAAUUGCAUUCAAAGACCUCAUUUGGCUAGUGAUGUCUUGGAGGGUUUUUGCCAACAAGCCUCUUUCAUUUUUUUUUUCUCAGCUCACCUUUGCUUUAUGGUGUCCAUGAGGAUUUUUCACCAAUGAGACUCUCUUAUUUUCAUUUCUCUCAACUCACAGUCAUCUUACGAUGCACGUGAGGAUUUUUAUUGAUAAGACUCUCUUAUUUUUAUCUCUCUUAACUUAAUAUCAUCUUACAGUGUCUGUGAAGGUUUUCACCAAUAAGACUCUUAUUUUUAUUUCUCUCCUGAUUCUGCUGAGGAAGACAGAUAGUUCCCAAAAUGCGUAUCAUAUGCAUUACAUGUCUAGCCUUAUCAUUUUCAGAGAUUGAUCUGAAGGUCUUUCUUUGGUUGUAACUUGGCUUUUGUAUAAGGUUAGAAAGAAGGGACUUACAACUUGGAUUUUGCAUGAGUCUCAAAUAACACUUGAAGUGGGGUGGGACUUACAACUUUUGAAAUCGACUCAAACAAUGAGGAUUAACUCAUGCCCCAGUUUAUUUUGGUUAGGUGACUCUAAAUUGUUUAUUUGGUUGGACCGAGCCCCGAGUAGGGCAGCCUGCAUAUCUCACUCCCGAGAGAGGAGAAUCAGAUCACACGUAGUUCCGACAACUCAUUGUUUUGCUUGAUUAUGAUUUCUUCUCUUCUCUUUUUUUUUGACUCUUUUUUUUCCUCUUUGAAACUUUUUCUGGCUUUAUUUUUCUUGACACUCUUCUUUUUUCUUUCUUUUUAAUAAAUUUUUUCUGACUCUAUUCUUUUGCUUGACACUUUUCUUUUGAACUUUGCUGACUCUUAUCUUGAUUCCAAAAGAGGGAUAUGAAAUAAAAUAGAAUUAAAGCUCAAACGGGUUUCACAAAGGAUGAUACAAUGUUUGGAUAACAGAAUAAAAUACCUCUAUCAUAUCAAUCCUUGAAAAUGCAAGUACAUAUUAUGAAAUGUGAAAGUGAAAGAUGGAGAUUAUUCGUGAUAUUUUUACAGCACUAACUUUAAUUGAGUCUGCGCGUCACGACUUCUUCUGCGUUUGUCUAAUAUACAACUCCACCUUUGUUAUACAUUCCUCACAUUGAAUGACUCAUGAUUUCCUGAAACUGAUUUUCUUUCUGUUCUUCUUGAUAUAGGAUCGUGCAUCCACUAUUUGACCUAAUUGAGAUAUGUCUUUGAUUUGAUGACCAAUUUAUUCAUGCGAUUUUCAAAAUCAUUUCCUUCAUUUUCAAAGAAGGCUUCAACUUGGUCACCCAAUGUCUCAACACUCUACUUAUUUUCUCAGAUCCCUUUUUUCUAACUUUAGCCCUCUGAUUCAAAGUUCACGCUUAAAUCGUAUUUCAAGAUCUAGAUGAAAAUAAUGCAAGUAUGCCAUAUCACUAAAACCAAUAUAAAAUGUACUAUGUAAAGAAAACAAACAAACAACACAUAUUUUAAACACAAAGGGAAAAAGGGAUACUCUAUUUAGUUAAAAUGAAAGAUAGAAGGGUUUAAACAUAAACGACAAAAGGACAAAACAAGAUAGAUCCCGAACUACAACCUUGAAAUAAUUGGGACAACAAAAAAGAAAACAAAACAAAUUACUAGAUCUCUUCCUAGUAGGGAGAGGAGUAACUUCUGAAUUCUUGAGCCUGACAUCUUAGCCACUGAUUUGUAUAUCAACAUGACUAGAGCUUCCACCAUUGUCAGACACAUUCCCUUCAACAAAUAAGUUCUGGAUCCCCAUGCUCAACUUAUUUCUUCCCACAUAUUUUGCAUUAUCGUGUGUUGGUUAAGGAUUCUGUGUGACCUUUGUAGUUUCAAUAUUUUGUACUACGAUCAAUUUUUCUUGAAUCAUCCUUUCUAUUUCUCUUUUCAAAACACUACAACCUUCAAUAUUGUGACCCUAGAUAUCAAAAUGAUAUGCACAUCGUACAUGAGGAUCCAAAUUUCUUAAAUAUGGAUCAGGAGGACACCCAAUGAGAGGAGUGAUCAUGCCCAAAUAUCUCAAUCUCUGGAAUAAACCGACAUAUGAUUCCCCAAUUGGUGUAAAAUUAUCCUUUGAUUUCUUCAUUUUUGCAAACUUCAGCCUCGGUUGAAACUUGGACUUAGAAGUUCCUUGGUAAAUAUGUGAGGUUCGAGAACGAUGUUGAAGGACCGUUGCACGCCAUUGUGGAUAAGAAGACGGAUGAUUAUACCAUUAUGCAUUGUUCAAAGGAUACUGAGGAAGUGGAAUGAAAUAUCAUGGAUUUGCGAAGAGAAACCUUGUUGUAGGUGAGCAUGUGGAUCUAAUAUGUAAGUUCGGUCUGACACUAUUGGUGUGGAUCUAAUGUGUUUCCCUUCUUCUUUUCUUCAGUUUCGCUUUAUUGAUUGCAAUAUCGUCCCAAAUAUUUCACGAACCCUCAUGUCCAUCAUGCUCCUCAAAUUUUGAUGCCUCAAAGCUUGGAGUAAGGUUAACACUUGAAAACAUGGCCCAGUUUUAUAUGAAACAUCUUCAUAACCCGCAAGUCCCAGGGAACUUUUCAUAUCAUUUUUUACAUUCUUCACUUUCCAAACCAUUUUCUCUACUCUUCUGGCAUGCUAGGCUUCUUGGUAAGAAAUUUUGGUGAUCCAAUUAACUUAAAUGUAGGCUCGGGAGUAUAGCAAUGAUCACCAAGAGUAUUGAACGUGGAUUCACUAGUGAACUGGGGAAGCACAAUCGUUGGGCAAACAACUAAUAUGGAAGCCUUAGUAGAAGGUUGAGCAACCAAAUCACAGACGAUAUGUGUGUUGUGAAUGUAGUAGGCUUAUACUGAGGAGUUAGAAAAAGAGUGGUGGAAAUAUUAGGAUGCAUUUGACGUGGAAUAACUUCCGAGGCAUCUUGUGGUGCAUCAAAAACAGUAGAAAACUGACUUUGCAAUUCUGAUGAAAAACUUAAAAUAUUUACGGGGUCAAUAGUGGGAAGUGGAGGAGGAGACAACCCACUGACCCAAGCUCGGUGUAUUUCUGUCAUUUGUUGCCUUAGUAUCAAAAUCUCUUGCUUUAAACUCUCAUUUUCCCGACUUUUUGUCUGAUCCAGGAUGUCACUCUCUAUAUCCUUGUUAGAUAUGACUAACUCUUCCUUAGACUUGGUGUGAUGUGGAGGACCAGCCAGAAUGCCACAAACCAACCACCUUAGACUAACUGAAGAAGAGGUAACAAAUGUGUUAGAGUUCAACAUUUUUUCAAAACCUCUUUUUUUUUAAAAAAAAGAUCACCGAACCCAAGAAGGGCGCCUAAGUAUUUCACCCCCUAGAGGAGAGAAUUAGGUGUGCGUAGUUUGUGAAGUUCGACCGCAAAAUGGCCAAUCAAACUCUUUUUUCUUUUUCUUGUAACUUUAGAAGAAAAGAAAGUAACAAAUUGUCAAAAGAACUGACAAAAAUCUUUUUUUGAAUCUUUUAGCUUUAACAUCCCUAUACAAAAUGAAACCUAUGAUUAUCAAAGAAAAAUAUUUUUGGGUUUUCGAUUUUGAAUUUCAUAUGAAAAUGAAACUUGAAACUAUUAAAGGAAAAUCUUUUUGUAGUUUUCUUUUAAAGAUGUAUAUGACACCUACUCUAAAUGAAGAGUGAAGAAACUUUUUUAAAAUUUUUCAGAUUCCUGUACAAAAUGAAACCUAUGAUUACCAAAGAAAAAUCUUUUUGGGUUUUCAAUUUUGAAUUUUAUAUGAAAAUGAAACUUGAAACUAUUAAAGGGAAAUAUUUUUGUGGUUUUCUUUUAGAGAUAUAUAUAUGACUCCUACUCUAAUAAAGAGUGAAGAAAAUCUUUUUAAAUUUUUUAAAUAAGAUCCCCGAACCCACAAUAGGUUGCCUACAUAUCUCACUCCCGAGAGAAGAGAAUUAGGGGAGGGUAGUUCGUCCAGAUUAGAAAUUAAGAAUUAAUUAAUAAAAUAAACCUUGAUUUAAGAGACACAACCAAAGACAGACGAUGAAAAACGUCAAUAAAAUCUUUUUGGAUUUUUAAUUAGACACUUCACAUAAAACUGACACCAAUAAUUAUGAAAGAAAAAUAUUUUUUGGUAUUUUUGUUAUAUUAAAUAUACAAAACUUCUACCAUUUUUUUAAAAGUUUUUCUUUUAUAAAAAACUCCUAUUGAAAGAAAUCUUUUUUAAAAUUUUCAAAUUAUGAAUGCUUGCUAAAGAAACAAAAGGAAAAUCUUUUUGAUGUUUUUGUUUUGACAAUAUGAAUGCAAAAGGUAAAAAAAUCUUUUUGCAUUUUUGGAUUGUGAAAAACAAAAGCCAUAAAGAACUUUAAAAACUACGAAACUCUUUUUUUGACUCGCCUUUUCUUUUUCUGUUCUUUUUCCGAUUUUUCCUUGCCUACACACUAGAUUUUUCUUUUUGAUUUUUUCUUGUCUACACACUUUCUUUAAUACUUGCACAUGUUUUUUCCCAAAUCAGUCCGUCAAAUGACCCUAUUACCCUUAAAGAUGUGACAAUUAGCACUUAGGGAUGCUUUAGGGGUGAGUCUCCUACAAAGGACCAAGUGAGUCUCGCUAGGUCUCAAUAUGAUGCAGAUAAGCAUGAACUAAAGGCUGACCUAGAUGGGGUUCACUAACAAGGCUGUUCGGGGGAGCGUAUGAUCGAUAGUUGCUGCGACAACUUUCCACCUACUCUAUACACCCAAUGGCCCUCCCUCCUAAAAUUAGGGUGACUCAACUAGAGGUCAUGUACACACGUGUACUAUGAGACUUGUUGUGAAAGAAUGACCCGAGGUAAUGCACAUGAUGCCAGACAUAAAGCGGUAACACAUAAGAGAAAAAACUAUAAACAAAGAGCACAUAAGCAUCCAACAAUGAUAAAACAAUAACACAAAUAUUAACAAAAAUAAAAUGUCUAUACACCUAUAAUGUCAAACUAAGCCGAUACAACUAAAAAAUAAGCUCAAAUUCUAAAAAAUUUCCGGAAGAGUCGCCAGAGCUGUCACACCCCUUUUUAAUCAAAAAAGAUAAAUUUUAAGUUUGAAAGGGUUUUAUUAUUAAGUGACAAAAAGGAAAUUUAUUUCAAAAAGGAUUGUUACGUUUAAACUCAGAGUCGCCACUUGGCAUAAAUCGAGCGUGUCAAGUCACCUUUGGAAAUCCUUUUCAAAAUGGUUUGACUCUAAAAACUGAUCCACGAACAGAGAUUUCGGUUAAGGAAUUCUGUUGACCGAGGGAAAGGUGUUAGGCACCCCUUGGUCCCGUGGUUCAACUACAGUCUCUUCGUGGAGUAUAUCAACUAGUACGACACUAUGAAUAUAUAAGCCACAUUAAACACACAAAACAAUCAAACAAACAAAUAAACAAAACAAGUUCAAAAAUAUAGUGUCUAGUCCAAUUAUUACAGUCCAAAAUAAAAGAUACUUAAAUGAAACUACGCUAACCUACACUAUUCCUAAACUAUGCUCUACCCAAUGCCUCGGGCCUUGACCACGAUCAUCUUUCGCCAACAUAAUACGUCGAGGUAUUCUCCAGUGAAUAAAUACAAUGAGCCUCGGGGCAUUUUCCGGCUAAAUGAAUACAUUUAAUGAAAUGAAAUAAAAAUGGAGAAAUCACUCAACAUAAACAUUUACACAUUUGAUGAUUAGAAUCUUACGAGUUGCCUACCCCAAAACCUAGAAUUCGCCUAUUGAUUUAAAGAUCUAAUCAUGAUACUAUCGUGUUCAACAACAUUCAUAUUUAAACCAAACUAAAAAAACAUCAAUAAAUCUAAAUUAAUCCAUGUUCACCUUUUUAUCCAUUUUUUCAUUUUCGUCCCCAAUUACAUUCACAAUCACAUGCAGUUACUCAAUUUUAAGAUAGCAAUCCAGGAAACGACACUCCACAUUAUUCAAAUAUACUCAAAACAUACCAACAAAUCACAAAAUCCACCACAUUUAAAUCACGCAAUCAAUAUCAAACACCAUAUUAAAAUAUAAAUGAAAGAAGAACAGAGUUGAUGAAUCAAACUUCAAUCAAUGAUUUUAUUUCGAUUAAACCGGAUUACUUGAUCGAGAAUCGUCAGACCUCAAUACAAAUCAAAACUCGACAAACUUUGAUCACGAACUCAGUUUAAUCACCAAAUCAGACCAAAAAAUAUUGAAAUAACGAACAAAUUUUACCUAAAUGGGAUUGGAAUCAGAAUUUCGCUGGAUUAUCUUUAUUUUCAUGGACUAACUGUAACUGUGUCGCUGACUUCCCAAUGGAUUUGAACUAUUUUGAAGAGUUUCCAGCAAGAUAUUUUAUUGCCGGAAAAGGAACAACAACAGUGGACUAUUUGGUCGGGUUUGGGGAUAUCAUCGGUGGUAUUUGGGUACUUUGGUCGGUGAUUUUUUGGUGGAGCCGUUUUGGUUGAAAAUGGCAGUGGGUUUGCAGUCGAACAGUGAUGGAGUUACGAUUCUGGCGAGAAUUCAUCGGAAAAUCUAUUCCUCUUCGAUUUUCUCUUCUUUUUCAACUUUCUAUGCUUGUCUUGAUCUCUCCCUCUCAUUGUUCUCUCUCGAUCUUCUUUCUUUGUCCGUUCAAUCUCUCUCGCUCAAUUCAUAGCAUUUUUGUGUGAGUUUAGUGUUGUUGUGUCAAUGAAAAAUAGAAAUAGUGAGGUGUGUCUCUAUCUAUAUGUAUCUGGUGGUGAGUGUGUGUAUAUAUCAAUGAGUGUAUUAGUGUUUUGUGAAAGAUUCUUCCCCCUCCCCUCAGCUUUCUCUAUUCCUCCAUUUUUAUAUAUCAGGUGUGUGUGAGUAUAUCCCCCUUUCUCUGAUGUGUGGUGUGUGUUUAUAUGUUUGGUGUAUGUGUGAUGUUUCUAUAAGUGCUUUGUAUGUAUAUUGAUGCAUGUGUGUAUGUAUAUGUGAUAGUGUAUAUGAAUAAUGUGUGCGUAUAUGGUCCCAAUUCUCUUUUGUGAGAGUGUUCAGCUACGUAUGUUAGUGUGGUCCCUGGAAUUGUGGAGUAUGUGGGUAUGUAUAUGUGUGUGUUAAUAUAAUAGUGAGUGGGUUUUUUAGUGUGUAUGUAAGGUGUGUGUUCUGUGUGUUUAUUAUUCUUUGAAUGAUGUAUUAAUGGUGAGAGUAUUUUUGGUGUGAUCUCUUUUU
rnacentral:lncRNA from 1 species